UGGUCACUUCAAAGUGGGCUCAUGCAGUUGUGAAACUAAGAGCUCUUAACACUGUGAUGAAAUAUGGAUAUUCUCUGUAGAACACUAUAACACUAAAUUAGUGUUAUGUUUUCCUAAGAAGAAGUAUAA
ensembl:snoRNA